rnacentral:rRNA from 1 species
GAUGAACGCUGGCGGCGUGCCUAAUACAUGCAAGUCGAGCGAACGGACGAGAAGCUUGCUUCUCUGAUGUUAGCGGCGGACGGGUGAGUAACACGUGGAUAACCUACCUAUAAGACUGGGAUAACUUCGGGAAACCGUAGCUAAUACCGGAUAAUAUUUUGAACCGCAUGGUUCAAAAGUGAAAGACGGUCUUGCUGUCACUUAUAGAUGGAUCCGCGCUGCAUUAGCUAGUUGGUAAGGUAACGGCUUACCAAGGCAACGAUGCAUAGCCGACCUGAGAGGGUGAUCGGCCACACUGGAACUGAGACACGGUCCAGACUCCUACGGGAGGCAGCAGUAGGGAAUCUUCCGCAAUGGGCGAAAGCCUGACGGAGCAACGCCGCGUGAGUGAUGAAGGUCUUCGGAUCGUAAAACUCUGUUAUUAGGAAAGAACAUAUGUGUAAGUAACUGUGCACAUCUUGACGGUACCUAAUCAGAAAGCCACGGCUAACUACGUG